UGGCUCUCGCAUCGAUGAAGAACGCAGCGAAAUGCGAUAAGUAAUGUGAAUUGCAGAAUUCAGUGAAUCAUCGAAUCUUUGAACGCACCUUGCACUCCUUGGUAUUCCGAGGAGUAUGCCUGUUUGAGUGUCAUUAAAUUCUCAAACCUUUUACUUGUUUAUUCAAGUUGAAAGGCUUUGGAUGUGGGGGUUGCUGGAUUCUAACGAAGUCAGCUCUCCUUAAAAACAUUAGUGGUUAUUGAUCCCAUUACUUGGUGUGAUAAUUAUCUACGCUUUGGAAAAGAUCUUAUAUAGCUGCUUUCAAACCGUCGAAAGACAACUUGAACCAUUUGACCUCAAAUCAGGUAGGACUACCCGCUGA
rnacentral:misc_RNA from 1 species